UGCAAAUUCAGGAGGUUACAGUCAUCCAUAAUACAAUCGGCUUGGCGGAAGCAUUCCAGGUUCAUUUCAGAAGCUAAUUUCCCAAACAUAUCGAGGAACGUCAGAUAACAGAUUUACUCCAAGAAUUACUAACAUCAUCAAUUGGAGCAUAUGCCUUGUGUACUUGGAUCACGCAGUUACUCCUGGUUGCCAGCAAAGGAUUGAGUGCUCAUUGAUAUCCCCAAAUUUUAUUUACAAACCCUGGUACAUUGCGGAUGAGUGAACUUCCGUUCGUCCUUCUGCAGUUUCUUCAAGCAACUACUUGAAAUGUUUUCUCUGCAGUUGGCUCACAAGUUUUAAUUUCAUGACUUGUGCUUUAGCUAGAUUUUAUCCAAUCAAUCAUGGUUUUGGUUUAGUACAAGUGUCAUCUGGUUGCUUCCGAAAGCAAUUAAGCAGCCAUAUACUCCGUAGGAUAAUUAUCAUUGCAUCCCCCUAUCAUGUUUAAAAUAUUUUGACUUUUUCUGCUAAAAUUCAUAUAUCUUAUACAUGUAUAGGAACUCCUGAAUACCAUGAUGCAUUUACUAAUUUCAUAGAUACAGUCAAUGGGAAACUUGGAAAUCCUGAAAUCAUAUUUAGUUGUCCUUGUGGUGAUAGUAAGAAUCUCGCUGUGCGAAUUCAUGGGGAGCCGGCUAGCUGCUAGCAUUUCUAAUUAUGUUCACCAAGAGAGAGCAACACCCAGUGUAUAUCAGGUGGAUCUUUCAUGUUGCAGAUGAUGCUCUUAUUGAUCAGGUUCAUGAAAUUAGACACGCUCGAUGGGGAUUCGCAAAGCUGGUGGAAGAUACUGACAGCACUAGUUGAUCUUCUUAUCUAUUUGAGUUUAAGUAUUGAUUUUAACUGUACAUUUGUGAUAGCAAUUUGCACUACUUCUUCCAUAA